CGCGCUAAUCAGAGACCGGGGCU
rnacentral:ncRNA from 3 species